ACGAGAAAAGGCAGCAGGAAGCAUUGCUGGCUUGGGAGCGCUGAUGUGUUGUAGAACAGCAUAUUUAAGAACAUUGCCGUGUGACCUGACGGCCUGCACUGCCCGUUGCAUUUUCUUCUGUGUCACAUCAUAAUAAAAAACAACAAUCACAUCAUUUUGAAUUAUAAAUGAUUAAAAGAUGAUUUUUAUGCAUCAUAUCAAUUUGCUUACUGCUUUAAAUGCUCAACCUAUGAAUAGUGCACUAAACCAAAAUCUCAGACAACAUAUGUUCGGCAUAGAAUCCGUGACAAGAAACAUUAGCCUCAAAACAGCAUCCAACUCAAACCAUUUCAUACAAGCAGAAACAGAAAUGGAGAGAUAUUAACAUGGCAUAUAAAUGAAAGUAAGUUUUUACCCGUAUUCAAGGAAAAAAAAGAAAGUUUUUACCAACAUAUAUCAAGAAGCAACCAGGCAGUCAAGGUCAUUGAUCAAGUUGCACCAAGUAAUUCACCUUGUCAGAAGUAGGGGGAGUCCAGUACAAAGAAAAACAGAGACAAGGAAAUAAACAAAUACUUAUUGCUUGCUCUCAAUUUAACAACAAUGAGGUGAGCUUGGUUAAAAUAAGGAUGUUUCCAUACAAAGCAAGUUCACGACCAUGAGCUGGUCUAGACUCUAGACAGAGAAAUGGGAAGAAAGCAAUACAACGAUUGGAUAAUUGAAGGUGCUUCAUCAAUAAUGCAGGCACGGCACUGUUCCAGAUAAACAAACAAAUCCUAUCUCAAUCAUAGUGGAAAAUUCUAUUCCGAUCUUUUUAGGAACACAAUACCAAAGGCAGUUCGUUUUUCAAAUUGCUGCCAUCAUGAAAGGGAUGUCUAGCAUAUCACUUUGUUUUCUGACGAGUAAAUAGUGGGAGAAGAAAACAACUACACACCACCACCACCCGAUAACAGAACCAAAUACUUCGUCUUGCUAGCAACAUGACGACAUGCCAUAUUGUACCUAUAGAUCAGCAUCUGUGCUGACACAGUAUUAGCAACAUGCCAGCGAUAUAUUCAGCCAGUCACAGUGCCACUCAAAAUAUAUUCAGCUUGGGCGCAGAGAGAGAGAGAGAGAGAGAGAGAGAGAGAGAGAGAGAGAGAGAGAGAGAGAGAGAGAGGUAGUAUGCCGUAUGCGUCGACACCUUUUGGCAGGCCUGUAUUCUGGAUUUCAGACAAUUGAGCCCACUAAUGUAUUACAAGAAUAUAGCAUGGACUGGGUCCAUGACAUUGGGUUCGGUUUUCUGUCACUAUCAAACCAAUAAGGAAUCACCACCAAACAGAGAAUCCAAAUAAUGGCGUCUCCACUCAGGACACUGAACUCCAUACACGAACUCGACUGUCUCCAUGACAUUUAAUUCGGGUUUAUGAAAUCAUUGCAGAUACGAACAAACGAAUCAUAAACUCAUGCCUGUCUCGGAAACAAUUCUGAGCCAAGUAGAGUUUUUUGUUUUCUUUUAACAGAAGAAGAAGAAGAAAGUUUUAAAAAGCAGUAAUGCAGCAGGCCGCCUCACCGAUACAAAACUGAAAUCUCUAAACAGCGCCAACGGAAAACAAAGGAAAGAAGGAAAACUCCACCCCCUCCUCUAUCAGAGGCUGUAGAUACAAACUCGAUCUGCAUCUACUGCGAGGGGAGGGGUAAAAAGCGAAUAAGCAGUCUAUGUGCACCGAUAAAGAUACCAAACGGAAGGCAUCGAUAUUCGAUACGGUGCCUCAGGCCACAGCUAAUAGCCAAACAAAUGAGAACAUGGAUCCUCUAGCGGGGAAUGAACAGAUCAGGCACUGAAUAGCCAGAGAAGCGAAGUAGAACAUGUCCUUUCGUCGUCUUUCGUCCCAUUUGCUACCCAGCAACGUUCUCUCUUCUUUUCUUUGCCUAAAACCUCAUCUCCUUCUACUGUAUAAACCAAGAGCAGAGUUCCUCGCAGAGGAAGAGAGCAGACCGUGAAGAAACCAAGGGGGAAAAAAAGGGAUAAUAGUCUUCUCACAAAGCGAGACCACCGUAAACGUCGAGCUAGCUUUCCUCGCGGAAAAAACUUGUCUUUUUUUUUUCUUCCUUUUGGUACGAAACGGGCGAGCAGAUACGCUAGCUCACGUUCUUUUACAGCGUAAUACGAGCAGGAGCAGACCAUCCCGUGUAGAAAUCUAGAGCGAGAAAGCCAGAAAGGACGCUCUCAACGGCAACGCACGGGUAGCUGUAGCUUAGCUUUACCCCGAUCCAAAGCAGGUAACACUAGUUCCACCGGAAACGCCUCUCAAGGCUCCUCUAGACUUGCAGAGCAGGCAGAGUUCACGGUUGGGGGGGCAUCGAUCUCCCCCGUUUAGCAUAGGCUUAAGCAAAAAGGGUGUUGGGUUCUUCUGGUGCUUUACCUGCUCGAGCCGAGCGGAGCCGAAGCGAAGCCUGCGCCGCAGUGGAGAGACGGGGUUGGGGGUGGUGGGGACUUGGGAGUGGAGUGGAGGAGGAAGAUGGAGGAAGGACACUUGUUACGCUGGGGAGGCGAGGGUGCGUGGCGACGAGCGCUGAUUUAAUAAAAGCGAC
rnacentral:lncRNA from 1 species